GGACUUAACUGCAGAUGUAACGGGAGGGCCGUGGAAGGGAACGAAAAUAAAAAGGAGGCCACAGAAGGGCGUCUCGGUUUUCCAGGGCCAUAGAAGGAAGCGUCAUUUGCUUCAGGGCCUUCCAGGGAAUUUUCCCAAUUAAUUAUGUCACCUAGAUACCAGUAGUGCUUUAGUGGUACAUAGUAUAUCUAUUUUCCUUUGCUAUGUUAACAUGCUACG
rnacentral:lncRNA from 1 species